AGUGAACGCUGGCGGUAGGCCUAACACAUGCAAGUCGAACGGCAGCACAGUAAGAGCUUGCUCUUACGGGUGGCGAGUGGCGGACGGGUGAGGAAUACAUCGGAAUCUACUUUUUCGUGGGGGAUAACGUAGGGAAACUUACGCUAAUACCGCAUACGACCUACGGGUGAAAGCAGGGGAUCUUCGGACCUUGCGCGAUUGAAUGAGCCGAUGUCGGAUUAGCUAGUUGGCGGGGUAAAGGCCCACCAAGGCGACGAUCCGUAGCUGGUCUGAGAGGAUGAUCCGCCACACGGGAACUGAGACACGGCACAGACUCCUACGGGAGGCAGCAGUGGGGAAUAUUAGACAAUGGGGGAAAGCCUGAUCCAGCCAUACCGCGUGAGUGAAGAAGGCCUUCGGGUUGUAAAGCCCUUUUGUUGGGAAAGAAAAGCAGCAGGUUAAUACCCCGCUGUUCUGACGGUACCCAAAGAAUAAGCACCGGCUAACUUCGUG
rnacentral:rRNA from 1 species